GAUGAACGCUGGCGGCGUGCUUAACACAUGCAAGUCGAACGAGAAGUGAAGACGGAAACCUUCGGGCGGAAGGCUUUAUUUCGAGUGGCGGACGGGUGAGUAACGCGUGGGUAACCUGCCUCAUACAGGGGGAUAACAGUUGGAAACGACUGUUAAUACCGCAUAAGACCACAGCACCGCAUGGUGCGGGGGUAAAAACUCCGGUGGUAUGAGAUGGACCCGCGUUCGAUUAGCCAGUUGGCGGGGUAACGGCCCACCAAAGCGACGAUCGAUAGCCGAUCUGAGAGGAUGACCGGCCACAUUGGGACUGAGACACGGCCCAAACUCCUACGGGAGGCAGCAGUGGGGAAUAUUGCACAAUGGGGGAAACCCUGAUGCAGCGACGCCGCGUGAGUGAAGAAGUAUUUCGGUAUGUAAAGCUUUAUCAGCAGGGAAGAAAAUGACGGUACCUGAGUAAGAAGCCCCGGCUAACUACGU
rnacentral:rRNA from 1 species